rnacentral:rRNA from 1 species
GACGGAGGGUGCAGGCGUUGUUCGGAAUUACUGGGCGUAAAGCGCGUGUAGGCGGCUUGCUAAGUCUGAUGUGAAAGCCCGGGGCUCACCCCCGGAAGUGCAUUGGAAACUGGCGAGCUCGAGUCCCGGAGAGGAGGGUGGAAUUCCUGGUGUAGCGGUGAAAUGCGUAGAUAUCAGGAGGAACACCGGUGGCGAAGGCGGCCCUCUGGACGGUGACUGACGCUGAGACGCGAAAGCGUGGGGAGCAAACAGG